UACGGGCUUAGUCCGUGCCGAUGGACAGCAGAUCAGGUUCGCGUGCAUCACCUUGACGGUAGGGUAAUGGCCUACGGUGGGAUUAACGCACACGGGGUGUUAGGGCACGACUCCGGAGAAUGAGCAUGAGAGACGGCUCAUAGUUCUAAGGAAGGCAGCAGGCGCGGAAAUUGCCCAAUGUACCGUUGUGUACGAGGCAGUGACGAGGCGUCGUGAGUCACUUAGGUGACAUUACGAUGAGUGAGGUGUACAGACCCUCGCAAAUGCAAGUCGUGGGAAAGCAUGGUGCCAGCAGCCGCGGUAAUUCCAUCAUGACUAACUCAUUCUUACGGUGCUGCAGUUAAAGCGUCCGUAGCUGGCGGCCUGCCGACUCGAGGAACUCUCGACGCCCAACGUAGCGAGCGCGGUGAGCUGCAGCGAGUUACGNGCAACAACAACUAUCGCUAUAGGACAGGGGAAGGCUCCUUCUAUUAUAGGGGGACAGGUGAAAUAGGAUGAUGCCUAUAGGAGGAACAAGUGCGCAGGCACUGAGUCGUCCCCGGUUCGUUGGUCAAGGGCGUUAUCGUGGGGCUAGACGAUGAUUAGAGACCGUUUUACUCCACGUCGUAAACGAUGCUACCUCGCUGUGCGCUGUUCAAACACGUGCUUAGCGAAGAGAAAUCGAAGUGUACGACCCCUGGGGGGAGUAUGCUCGCAAGGGUGAAACUUGAAAGUAUUGACGGAAAGAUACCACCAGACGUGGAGUCUGCGGCUUAAUUUGACUCAACGCGCCAAUCUUACUAGAACCAGAUGCU
rnacentral:rRNA from 1 species